UCUAUCUCUCACUCACUCACUCACUCAACCCUACACUAUUUCUCUCCCGAUCUGAGACUAACCCUACCUCAUCGGCCGCCAUCUCUAUCGCGCGCCCUCUCUGUCUCUCUGUCUCUCUCUCAACUCGUCUCUAUCGCGCUCGCUCUCUCUCUCUCUCUGUCUCUCUCUUAGUCACAUCUUUAAGUCUCUUAGAGACGCGAGACUCAUUCUCUUUCUCCAAACCUAACCAAACAUCAAUCCAAUAUCAUUGGUUUUUGGAGCGAAUCCUUGUAAAUUUUGGAGGGCUCUGGUUCAUUCUAAGUUGUUGUGCUUAGUCUCUGUGGGUUUGGAUUAAUAGGCAAAAUUGAAGAUUGUUGCGUUGCAGCUUUCUGUGGUCCGAAUUGCCCCGAAUUGUGUCUUUGCACUGAGUGUUGUGUAGGUUGCUUUGUGAAGGCUUUUGGAAGAAUGGAUGCAGCAGAUUUUUUGCAAGGAUAUUAUCUCUAUGUGUAUUUUUGUGAUGGGUUGUAAUCUUUAAUGUCAUAAGUUUAAUUUGGUUUGUGUAUUAUUUUUUGUAAUGGUUUGUAAGAGAUUAUAUUUCCUUUCCUUGGUUGGUUGGUUGAAUUGAAUGUGUGUAUGUGAGAUUUAUUUAGUUUAGAAACUUAGAUUGGAAUGAUGGAUUUUUAUAGCUUGAAUUUACAUAAUUUCAGGUUUUGAAAGAG